rnacentral:rRNA from 1 species
GCAUGUCGAACGAAGCACUUGUGCUUAGUGGCGAAUGGGUGAGUAACACGUACUUAAUCUACCUUUUAUUUUGGGACAACCGUUGGAAACGACUGCUAAUACCGGAUAUGGGAAAGAAUCGCAUGGUUUUUUCCUGAAAGGGGCGUUUGCCUCGCUAAAGGAUGAGAGUGCGUGACAUUAGGUAGUUGGUAGGGUAAAGGCCUACCAAGCCGAUGAUGGAUAGCGGGGUCGAGAGGCUGAAC